UGGCAAGAUUUUCCCCAGCCCAUGUUGUGCAGCUGCACCCAUUUAGUGCCUUUGGUUCACUAACACCUGGGGAGAGGACAGAAGCACAACUACUGUGUGCCUCAGAAGAGGACGGCAAGGACUUCCACCCGCAGGUCAGCCUGGAUACUGCAGCCGAGGGGUGUCCUGUGCUGUGUGGCAGAACCAGCUGGAGCAGCAGGUGCAGUGCAAUUGAUCUUCAUUUGGGUUGGACGGGUUUCCUUGCUGGAUUUUGGAGAAGGAAUCCGUCAGUGGCACGGCCAUCAAACAGAAGGCAGCAGGAAUAUCCUUGUCAAAGAGAUAUAUGACUUUGCAGACACUCAAAAAGGUGCCAAGAAAAGCAGCUCAGUAGCAGAGGUGGCUACUAUCACCUGUCAAAGCUGAUGGGGUUUUGAGCAGGAGAGGGAAGGAACAGUUAACCAACCUAUCUACAUCAAGAACACCAUAACCUACCUUAAAAUGUGCAGAGAGGAAUUUUAAUUAAAGGAUUUGUGCAGCUGUGGAGUCUUGAAAUCCUCUAAGUAAUGUGCAGUGGCCUGAGACCUCCCUGGGAAUGGCUCUUCAGUAUUUGCAACCUUGAAAACCUACCAAGGAGUUAUUCCAACAUGAUGUGUUUGAUCCCCAGAUACACGACCUGGAUCAAAGUAUUCUAAAACUUCAUUGCAGAUGUUAAGGCAUUGUGUUCCUGAGCAAGAGAUGUGGCUGAGAAGACACCUUGAUGCCAGGUCUUGAUCUUGUGAAAUGCCUUCAGCGCCAGAUAAAGGUUAUCAGGUUUCAGAAUACUUAAACUUACCUUCGAGGUUUUCUUGUGAUCUAGAUGGUUUGUGUCUGAACGUAGUGCAGAAACUGCCUCCGUGUGUUAAUCACUGCUUCCAUAUGUGAAAUAGCUUAGUUUACUCAGGAGAGGCAGCCUUACUCCUUGAGACACCAGUUUCCUCUUGCUACUCAAUAAAUCAAAUACAAAUAUAUUCAUAGCUGAACUGGAAAUGCAGAAAUAUCAGUGGGAAUUGCAUUUCCAGUUGCUGUCCUUCCUGGGGCAAGUAUCACAGCAACAAAGCAUCACACACCAACUCAUUCUGACCAUUAAAUGAGCAGGCAAGCUUUCCUAAUGAGUGUUUCUUUCCUCUCCUUUCCCACCCUUCUCUCCC